UCAGUUUUGGAGACUCAACUUACAGUGUAC
rnacentral:piRNA from 1 species